rnacentral:rRNA from 1 species
CGUGAGGGAAAGGUGAAAAGAACCCCGGGAGGGGAGUGAAAUAGAACCUGAAACCCUGCACUUACAAGCUGUGGGAGCACAUUACUUGUGUGACCGCGUACUUUUUGUAGAACGGGCCAACGAGUUACGUUAAGUAGCAAGGUUAAGCACUUAAGGUGUGGAGCCGUAGCGAAAGCGAGUCUUAAAUGGGCGAUUAAGUUACUUGGCGUAGACCCGAAACCGGGCGACCUAUCCAUGAGCAGGUUGAAGCGAAAGUAAAAUUUCGUGGAGGACCGAACCCACGAGCGUUGAAAAGCUCGGGGAUGACUUGUGGAUAGCGGUGAAAUUCCAAUCGAGCCCGGAGAUAGCUGGUUCUCCCCGAAAUAGCUUUAGGGCUAGCCUCAAGCGUAGAGAAACGGAGGUAGAGCACUGAAUGUCCUAGGGGGUAUUGCACUUACCGAAGACUAUCAAACUCCGAAUGCCGUAUUCUUUUGCUUGGGAGUCAGACUAUGGGUGAUAAGAUUCAUAGUCAAAAGGGCAACAGCCCAGAUCGUCAGCUAAGGUCCCUAAAUGUACGUUAAGUGGUAAAGGAUGUGGGAUUGCACAGACAACCAGGAUGUUGGCUUAGAAGCAGCCACUCAUUUAAAGAGUGCGUAAUAGCUCACUGGUCGAGUGAUCCUGCGCCGAAAAUUUCCGGGGCUAAAACGUACUACCGAAGCUACGGCAUCAUUUAUGAUGGGUAGGGGAGCUUCGUAUGCAGGCUGAAGCAUGACCGUAAGGACAUGUGGACAGUAUACGAGUGAGAAUGUUGGCAUGAGUAGCGAGACGUGGGUGAGAAUCCCACGGGCCGUAAACCCAAGGUUUCCAGGGGAAGGUUCGUCCGCCCUGGGUUAGUCGGGACCUAAGCCGAGGCCGAAAGGCGUAGGUGAUGGACAACAGGUUGAUAUUCCUGUACCGCCAAUAAGCGUUUGAGAGAUGGAGUGACACAGUAGGAUAAGCUAACCGUACUGUUGGUUAUGUACGGCUAAGCAUUGAGGCAGUCUAAAUAGGCAAAUCCGUUUAGACAAUGCUAGGAUGUGAUGGGGAAGCCCUUCGGGGCGAAGUAGCUGAUUUCACACUGUCAAGAAAAGCUUCUAUCGAGUUUAAAGGCGCCCGUACCGUAAACCGACACAGGUGGGUGAGGAGAGUAUCCUAAGGCCAGCGAGAGAACUAUUGUUAAGGAACUCGGCAAAAUGACCCCGUAACUUAGGGAGAAGGGGUGCCUGUCUAUGACAGGCCGCAGAGAAUAGGCCCAAGCGACUGUUUACCAAAAACACAGGUUUCUGCUAAGUCGCAAGACGAUGUAUAGGAGCUGACGCCUGCCCGGUGCUGGAAGGUUAAGGGGAUCUGUUAGAGCAAUCGAAGCAGUGAACUUAAGCCCCAGUAAACGGCGGCCGUAACUAUAACGGUCCUAAGGUAGCGAAAUUCCUUGUCGGGUAAGUUCCGACCCGCACGAAAGGCGUAACGAUUUGGGCACUGUCUCAACAAUAGACUCGGUGAAAUUGUAAUCCCGGUGAAGAUGCCGGGUACCUGCGACAGGACGGAAAGACCCCAUGGAGCUUUACUGUAGCUUGACGUUGGGUCUUGGUACUACAUGUACAGGAUAGGUGGGAGACUAUGAAGCAUGGACGCCAGUCUGUGUGGAGUCAUCCUUGGGAUACCACCCUUGUAGUACUGGGAUCCUAACCAUAGGCCUUGAAUCAGGUCUUGGAACACCGUCAGGUGGGCAGUUUGACUGGGGCGGUCGCCUCCUAAAAAGUAACGGAGGCGCUCAAAGGUUUCCUCAGCACGGUCGGAAAUCGUGCGAAGAGUGUAAAGGCAAAAGGAAGCUUGAUUGCAAGACAUACAGGUCGAGCAAGGACGAAAGUCGGACUUAGUGAUCCGGUGGUACCGCAUGGAAGGGCCAUCGCUCAACGGAUAAAAGCUACCCUGGGGAUAACAGGCUUAUCUCCCCCAAGAGUCCACAUCGACGGGGAGGUUUGGCACCUCGAUGUCGGCUCAUCACAUCCUGGGGCUGUAGUAGGUCCCAAGGGUUGGGCUGUUCGCCCAUUAAAGUGGUACGCGAGCUGGGUUCAGAACGUCGUGAGACAGUUCGGUCCCUAUCCGUCGCAGGCGUAGGAAAUUUGAGAAGACCUGUCCUUAGUACGAGAGGACCGGGAUGGACGUACCUCUGGUGUACCAGUUGUUCUGCCAAGGGCAUGGCUGGGUAGCUAUGUACGGAAUGGAUAAGCGCUGAAAGCAUCUAAGCGCGAAGCCAACUUCAAGAUAAGAUUUCCCACCGUAAGGGUAAGACCCCAGGAAGACUACCUGGUUGA